rnacentral:rRNA from 1 species
CCUACGGGAGGCUGCAGUGGGGAAUAUUGGACAAUGGGGGGAACCCUGAUCCAGCGACGCCGCGUGAGUGAAGAAGUAUUUCGGUAUGUAAAGCUCUAUCAGCAGGGGAGAAAGAAAUGACGGUACCUGACUAAGAAGCCCCGGCUAACUACGUGCCAGCAGCCGCGGUAAUACGUAGGGGGCAAGCGUUAUCCGGAUUUACUGGGUGUAAAGGGAGCGUAGAGGGUUACGCAAGUCUGGAGUGAAAGGCGGGGGCUCAACCCCCAGAUUGGCUUUGAAACUGGAUGACUUGAGUGCAGGGGAGGUAAGUGGAAUGCGUAGUGUAGCGGUGAAAUGCGUAGAUAUUAGGAGGAACACCAGUUGCGAAGGCGGCUUACUGGACUGUAACUGACGUUGAGGCUCGAAAGCGUGGGGAGCAAACAGGAUUAGAUACCCUAGUAGUC